ACACAAACUACGAGGUAUCCCAACUGCUCAUGCUGCUCGCUUCUCCUGGAACACCUUCUCCAUUUCUGAAUGUCCAAACACCGCCCAUCUGUGGAUGCUCUGUUCAGAUCACUCUACUCAGGGAGGGGCACAGUGGCUCUCGCCUGUAAUCCCAGCACUUCGGAGGCUGAGUGAUGAAAGACUGACCAGUAGAAGGUGGUGAAGAUGAAGAAUAGUGGAACUGGCAACGACCUUCUGAACUAACCUGGAGGAGAGGAGAUUGCCUUACACGUGCACUGCUGACCGAUGGUGCCCACUGACCAUCACCAGCACCCCUAGGAUGCCAAGGCACGGCAAAGACGGCGGGCAAGCAUCAGCGGACUGACCACACGGCAUUUACUAGAUAUGCUCAAAUUCUAAUCCCACUUUAUAAAAACAGAAUGGUAUAGGUCAACAGAAAGGUCAAUUCUUUCAUGUAAGAAGAAAACCAUAUGGACAGGGCACCUCUGUGCAUCCCAAACAUGGUUUCCUUCCUAAUCAAAGAGUUGUCUUUGCCACUGUGGACUGUGAUCACAGAUUGAGAACAAGCUCUGAUAAGGAAGAGCUUUAGUGUCAGUCACAGAAAAUGAUGAUUCUUAACUUUCAGGUGAGAGAUUGGGCUUAUUUAAAAAUAAAUCUUAUAAAUAAUUAUUUGGCAAAGAUAAAGUAUCAGCUUUCUUUAGCCUCAAGCCACUAAAGACAGUAACACCAAUUUUAAGGAAAAAUAAUAAUAACCUCACUUUCCAACUUGCUCCCCAUGCCUA
rnacentral:antisense_RNA from 1 species